rnacentral:rRNA from 1 species
UACAGAGGGUGCGAGCGUUAAUCGGAAUUACUGGGCGUAAAGCGCACGUAGUCGGCUUUGCAAGUCGGUUGUGAAAUCCCCGGGCUCAACCUGGGAACUGCAUCCGAGACUGCAUUGCUAGAGUAUGGGAGAGGAAAGCGGAAUUUCUGGUGUAGCAGUGAAAUGCGUAGAUAUCAGAAGGAACAUCAGUGGCGAAGGCGGCUUUCUGGACCAAUACUGACGCUCAUGUGCGAAAGCGUGGGGAGCAAACAGG